UCCGUAGGGGGCAAUCGUUGUCCGGAAUUACUGGGCGUAAAGAGCUCGUAGGUGGUUUGUCGCGUUGUUCGUGAAAUCUCACGGCUUAACUGUGAGCGUGCGGGCGAUACGGGCAGACUAGAGUACUGCAGGGGAGACUGGAAUUCCUGGUGUAGCGGUGGAAUGCGCAGAUAUCAGGAGGAACACCGGUGGCGAAGGCGGGUCUCUGGGCAGUAACUGACGCUGAGGAGCGAAAGCGUGGGGAGAGAACAGG
rnacentral:rRNA from 1 species